UACGGGGGGAGCAAGCGUUGUUCGGAUUUACUGGGCGUAAAGGGCGCGUAGGCGGCGCAACAAGUCACUUGUGAAAUCUCCGGGCUUAACUCGGAAAGGUCAAGUGAUACUGUUGUGCUAGAGUGCGGAAGGGGCAACUGGAAUUCUCGGUGUAGCGGUGAAAUGCGUAGAUAUCGAGAGGAACACCUGCGGCGAAGGCGGGUUGCUGGGCCGACACGUGACGCUGGAUGCGCGAAAGCCAGGGGAGCGAACGGGG
rnacentral:rRNA from 1 species